rnacentral:rRNA from 1 species
CAACCCCUCGCAUUCAGUUGCCAUCGGGUAAUGCCGGGCGACUCUGGAAGGACUGCCAUCGACAAGAUGGAGGAAGGUGGGGAUGACGUCAAGUCAUCAUGGCCCUUAUGAUCUGGGCUACACACGUGCUACAAUGGCCGGUACAACGGGCAGCGAAGGAGCGAUCCGGAGCGAAUCCUAAAAAGCCGGUCCCAGUUCGGAUUGCAGGCUGAAACUCGCCUACAUGAAGUUGGAGUUGCUAGUAAUCGCGAAUCAGAAUGUCGCGGUGAAUGCGUUCCCGGGUCUU